rnacentral:rRNA from 1 species
ACCUCGAAUCAGGUAGGAAUACCCGCUGAACUUAAGCAUAUCAAUAAGCGGAGGAAAAGAAACCAACAGGGAUUGCCCCAGUAACGGCGAGUGAAGCGGCAACAGCUCAAAUUUGAAAUCUGGCCCCUAGGGCCCGAGUUGUAAUUUGCAGAGGAUGCUUUUGGCGAGGUGCCUUCCGAGUUCCCUGGAACGGGACGCCAUAGAGGGUGAGAGCCCCGUCUGGUUGGAUGCCGAGCCUCUGUAAAGCUCCUUCGACGAGUCGAGUAGUUUGGGAAUGCUGCUCUAAAUGGGAGGUAUAUGUCUUCUAAAGCUAAAUACCGGCCAGAGACCGAUAGCGCACAAGUAGAGUGAUCGAAAGAUGAAAAGCACUUUGAAAAGAGGGUUAAAUAGUACGUGAAAUUGUUGAAAGGGAAGCACUUAUGACCAGACUUGGACCCGGUGAAUCAUCCAGCGUUCUCGCUGGUGCACUUUGCCGGGCUCAGGCCAGCAUCAGUUUGCCUCGGGGGAUAAAGGCUUUGGGAAUGUGGCUCCCUCGGGAGUGUUAUAGCCCAUUGCACAAUACCCUGGGGCGGACUGAGG